rnacentral:rRNA from 1 species
UGAGGGAAUAUUUGGGGACAAUGGAGGCAACUCUGAUCCAGCCAUGCCGCGUGAAGGACUAAGGCCCUAUGGGCUGUAAACUUCUUUAGACGCAGAGCAAUAAGGGCCACGUGUGGUCCGAUGAGAGUAUGCGUAGAAUAAGCAUCGGCUAACUCCGUGCCAGCAGCCGCGGUAAUACGGAGGAUGCAAGCGUUAUCCGGAUUCAUUGGGUUUAAAGGGUGCGUAGGCGGCUUGGUAAGUCAGCGGUGAAAUUCCAGUGCUCAACAUUGGCCGUGCCGUUGAUACUGCUGGGCUUGAAUGCGGAUGCCGUGGGUGGAAUGUGUGGUGUAGCGGUGAAAUGCAUAGAUAUCACACAGAACACCGAUUGCGAAGGCAUCUCAC